GUGUCAGCCGCCGCGGUAAAACGUAGGAGGCGAGCGUUAUCCGGAUUUACUGGGCGUAAAGCGCGUGUAGGCGGCCCGGUCAGUCGGACGUGAAAUCUCCUGGCUCAACUGGGAGGGGCCGUUCGACACUACCGGGCUUGAGGGCAGUAGAGGGAGGUGGAAUUCCGGGUGUAGCGGUGAAAUGCGUAGAUAUCCGGAGGAACACCUGUGGCGAAAGCGGCCUCCUGGACUGCCCCUGACGCUCAGACGCGAAAGCUAGGGGAGCGAACGGGAUUAGAAACCCGCGUAGUCC
rnacentral:rRNA from 1 species